AGUGAACGCUGGCGGUAGGCCUAACACAUGCAAGUCGAACGGCAGCACAGUAAGAGCUUGCUCUUACGGGUGGCGAGUGGCGGACGAGUGAGGAAUACAUCGGAAUCUACUUUUUCGUGGGGGAUAACGUAGGGAAACUUACGCUAAUACCGCAUACGACCUGCGGGUGAAAGCAGGGGAUCUUCGGACCUUGCGCGAUUGAAUGAGCCGAUGUCGGAUUAGCUAGUUGGCGGGGUAAAGGCCCACCAAGGCGACGAUCCGUAGCUGGUCUGAGAGGAUGAUCAGCCACACUGGAACUGAGACACGGUCCAGACUCCUACGGGAGGCAGCAGUGGGGAAUAUUGGACAAUGGGCGAAAGCCUGAUCCAGCCAUACCGCGUGGGUGAAGAAGGCCUUCGGGUUGUAAAGCCCUUUUGUUGGGAAAGAAAAGCAGCAGGUUAAUACCCCGCUGUUCUGACGGUACCCAAAGAAUAAGCACCGGCUAACUUCGUG
rnacentral:rRNA from 1 species